UACAGAGGUGGCAAGCGUUGUUCGGAAUUACUGGGCGUAAAGGGCGCGUAGGCGGUCUUCUAAGUCUUGUGUGAAAUCCCUCGGCUCAACUGAGGAACUGCACGGGAUACUGGAAGACUUGAGUUCGGGAGAGGGAAGCGGAAUUCCGGGUGUAGCGGUGAAAUGCGUAGAUAUCUGGAGGAAUACCGGUGGCGAAGGCGGCAUCCUGGACCGGCAUUGACGCUGAGGAGCGAAAGCCAGGGGAGCAAAGCGGG
rnacentral:rRNA from 1 species